rnacentral:rRNA from 1 species
GACGAACGCUGGCGGCGUGCUUAACACAUGCAAGUCGAGCGGUAAGGCCCUUUCGGGGGUACACGAGCGGCGAACGGGUGAGUAACACGUGGGUGACCUGCCCUCAGCUCUGGGAUAAGCCUGGGAAACUGGGUCUAAUACUGGAUAUGACUCCAUGACGCAUGUUGUGGGGUGGAAAGCCUUGUGCGGCUGAGGAUGGGCCCGCGGCCUAUCAGCUUGUUGGUGGGGGAUGGCCUACCAAGGCGACGACGGGUAGCCGGCCUGAGAGGGCGACCGGCCACACUGGGACUGAGACACGGCCCAA